UACGUAGGGUGCAGGCGUUAAUCGGAAUUACUGGGCGUAAAGCGUGCGCAGGCGGUUUGCUAAGACAGGUGUGAAAUCCCCGGGCUUAACCUGGGAACUGCGCUUGUAACUGGCAAGCUGGAGUGUGGCAGAGGGGGGUGGAAUUCCACGUGUAGCAGUGAAAUGCGUAGAGAUGUGGAGGAAUACCGAUGGCGAAGGCAGCCCCCUGGGUCAAUACUGACGCUCAUGCACGAAAGCGUGGGGAGCAAACAGG
rnacentral:rRNA from 1 species